rnacentral:snRNA from 1 species
AUACUUACCUGGCAGGGGAGAUACCAUGAUCACGAAGGUGGAUUUCCCAGGGAAACUCGACUGCAUAAUUUGUGGUAGUGGGGGACUGCAUUCGCGCUAUCCCCUA